rnacentral:rRNA from 1 species
AUGCUUCGUCCCAGCGGCGGCAGCAGCACCACGCUGCUGCUGCUGCUGCCGCUUCUCGCCGUCCUGCUCGUGCGCGCCGCCAAUGCCGGCUCGCUGGAGGGCGACGCCGCGGCGCUCGCGGACUUCCGGCUCGCCGCGGACCGCUCCGGCGCGCUCGCGAGCUGGAACGCGUCCGCCGGCCCGUCCCCGUGCGCCUGGCGCGGGGUGACGUGCGCCGGCGGGCGCGUGACGCGGCUGGUGCUCGAGGGGCUCGGCCUGUCCGGCGCCGACGCGCUCCCGGCGCUGGCCCGGCUCGACGGCCUCCGCGUGCUCAGCCUCAAGGGGAACCGCCUCUCCGGCGCCCUCCCCGACCUCUCGCCGCUGCAAGGGCUCAAGCUGCUCUUCCUCUCCCGGAACGCGCUCUCCGGCGCCAUCCCGCCCUCGCUCGGCAGGCUCUACCGCCUCUACCGGCUCGACCUCUCCUCCAACAACCUGUCCGGCGCCGUGCCGCCCGAGCUGGCCCGGCUCGACCGGCUGCUCACGCUCCGGCUCGACUCCAACAGGCUCACCGGCGGGGUCGACGGCAUUGCGCUGCCCAGGCUGCAGGACCUCAACGUGUCCAACAAUCUCUUGUCUGGGAGGAUUCCGGUGGCGAUGGCGGGGUUUCCGGCGGGCGCGUUCGGCGGCAACGCCGAUCUAUGCGGCGCGCCCCUGCCGCCGUGCAAGGAGGACGCGUCCCCGUGCCCUCCGGCUGCGGCCAUGGCGGCGUCGUCGCCCUCCUCGAAGCCGCCGGAUGGCAAGGGGAAGAUGAGCCGCGGGGUCGUGGCGGCAAUUGUGGCCGCGGACUUCGCCGUCGUCGGGCUCGUGGCCGGGCUGCUCUUCUGCUACUUCUGGCCGCGCCUCUCCGGGCGGCGCAGCGACAGGCGCCACCGCGAGGGGGAGAAGAUCGUCUACUCCUCGAGCCCGUACGGCGCGGCGGGAGUGGUCGCGGGGGCGGCCGGCGGCACGUACGAGCGAGGGAAGAUGGUGUUUGUGGAGGACGCCGGCGGGAGGCGGUUCGAGCUGGAGGAGCUGCUGCGCGCGUCCGCGGAGAUGCUCGGCAAGGGCGGCUGCGGCACGGCGUACAAGGCGGUGCUCGACGACGGCAGCGUCGUGGCCGUGAAGCGGCUGCGCGACGCGGCGCCCGCGGCGGCGUCGACCAAGAAGGAGUUCGAGCACCACAUGGCCGUCCUCGGCCGCCUCCGCCACCCCAACGUCGUGCCGCUCAACGCCUACUACUACGCCCGCGACGAGAAGCUGCUCGUCUACGAGUUCAUGCCCAACGGCAGCCUCUUCUCCCUCCUCCACGGUAACCGAGGGCCGGGCCGGACGCCGCUGGACUGGGCGGCGCGCAUGCGCAUCGCGGCGGGCGCCGCGCGCGGCCUCGCCUACAUCCACCACGCGAGCCGGCGCGGCGGGAUGGCGCCCAAGCUGGCGCACGGCAACAUCAAGAGCACCAACAUCCUGCUCGACAGGUCCGGCGAGGCUCGCCUCGCUGACUGCGGGCUGGCGCAGCUGGGCACGUCGUCGCCGGCGGCGAGCUCGGCGGGGUACCGCGCGCCCGAGGCGCCGGCGCCGGCGUCCCGGCCGUGGGCGUCGCAGAAGGGCGACGUGUACGCGCUCGGGGUGGUGCUGCUGGAGCUGCUGACGGGGCGGUGCCCGGGCAGCGAGCUCCCCAACGGCGGCGUGGUGGUGGAGCUGCCGCGGUGGGUGCAGUCGGUGGUGCGGGAGGAGUGGACGUCGGAGGUGUUCGACCUGGAGCUAAUGAAGGACAAGGGCAUCGAGGAGGAGAUGGUGGCGAUGCUGCAGCUGGCCCUGAGCUGCGCGGCGAGCGCGCCCGACCAGCGGCCCAAGGUCGGGUACGUGGUGCGGAUGAUCGACGAGGUCCGCGCGUGCGGGGACCCGCAGGCGUCCUCGCCGUCGCACGGGUCGUCCAUGGACGAGUCCUCCGGCGUCUCCGACUCGCCCGCCGUGUCGGACGGCGGCGCCGCCAGCCAGUGA